AUUGAACGCUGGCGGCAUGCCUUACACAUGCAAGUCGAACGGCAGCACGGGAGCAAUCCUGGUGGCGAGUGGCGAACGGGUGAGUAAUAUAUCGGAACGUGCCCAGUCGUGGGGGAUAACGCAGCGAAAGCUGUGCUAAUACCGCAUACGAUCUAUGGAUGAAAGCGGGGGACCCGUAAGGGCCUCGCGCGAUUGGAGCGGCCGAUAUCAGAUUAGGUAGUUGGUGUGGUAAAAGCGCACCAAGCCGACGAUCUGUAGCUGGUCUGAGAGGACGACCAGCCACACUGGAACUGAGACACGGUCCAGACUCCUACGGGAGGCAGCAGUGGGGAAUUUUGGACAAUGGGCGCAAGCCUGAUCCAGCAAUGCCGCGUGCAGGAUGAAGGCCUUCGGGUUGUAAACUGCUUUUGUACGGAGCGAAACGGUCUGCUUUAAUACAGUGGGCUAAUGACGGUACCGUAAGAAUAAGCACCGGCUAACUACGUGCCAGCAGCCGCGGUAAUACGUAGGGUGCGAGCGUUAAUCGGAAUUACUGGGCGUAAAGCGUGCGCAGGCGGUUAUAUAAGACAGAUGUGAAAUCCCCGGGCUCAACCUGGGACCUGCAUUUGUGACUGUAUAGCUAGAGUACGGUAGAGGGGGAUGGAAUUCCGCGUGUAGCAGUGAAAUGCGUAGAUAUGCGGAGGAACACCGAUGGCGAAGGC
rnacentral:rRNA from 1 species